rnacentral:pre_miRNA from 1 species
AAUUUAGUAUAAGUAUGUCCCAUGCAAUAUUUGGAACAUACUUACACUAAUU